UGAACCUGCGGAGGGAUCAUUACACAAUAAAAUAUGAAGGCUGUACGCGGCUGUGCUCUCGGGCCAGUUUUGCGGAGGCUGAAUUAUUUAUUACCCUUGUCUUUUGCGCACUUGUUGUUUCCUGGGCGGGUUCGCCCGCCACCAGGACCACAUCAUAAACCUUUUUUAUGCAGUUGCAAUCAGCGUCAGUAUAACAAAUGUAAAUCAUUUACAACUUUCAACAACGGAUCUCUUGGUUCUGGCAUCGAUGAAGAACGCAGCGAAAUGCGAUACGUAGUGUGAAUUGCAGAAUUCAGUGAAUCAUCGAAUCUUUGAACGCACAUUGCGCCCUUUGGUAUUCCAAAGGGCAUGCCUGUUCGAGCGUCAUUUGUACCCUCAAGCUUUGCUUGGUGUUGGGCGUUUUUUGUCUUUGGUUGCCAAAGACUCGCCUUAAAAGGAUUGGCAGCCGGCCUACUGGUUUCGCAGCGCAGCACAUUUUUGCGCUUGCAAUCAGCAAAAGAGGACGGCAAUCCAUCAAGACUCCUUCUCACGUUUGACCUCGGAUCAGGUAGGGAUACCCGCUGAACUUAAGCAUAUCAAAAC
rnacentral:rRNA from 1 species